UUACGCCGUUAAAGAAGGAAACAAAAUUAAAAACUCUACCAUUAAAGCCUUUCAGCUGCACUGUUAACUACUAAUAAAAACUGUGAGUCUCAAGCUGCCUUUAUUUGGAAGUGUUCUAUUUCCAAAACAUCCCAGCUUGUCCACCUGCUAACAAGCAAACUGCCAUCAGAUACUGCACACAAACAAUGAAAACAUACAAAGAUACUUUCCCAAAUUCUAUUAAAAUUCUCUAAGAGAAACUAAAAAUGAUUUUUUUACCUUGAUUAAAGACGUGACCACAAUUGCUCCAGCAUUCACCAUAGGGUUAUGAGGCUUGUCAUCUUCAUUCAGGAACAAUUUGUUGAAUCUUAAUCCACUAGGCUCUUUACCAACAUAUCUGUGCACAUACUCUGUGCCAAGAUCAUUAACAGCAAUAGCAUAUUUCAAUGGCUUUACACAGGACUGAAGACAAAAAGGAACUUUGGUAUCUCCAACAGAAUGCCUCUGCCCAUCCACUGUGCAAAGUGAU
rnacentral:lncRNA from 1 species